AGUAAUAGUAUCAUUAAUGUCGCCACGUUAUAAGAAAAAAAAAAGGUAUGAUUAAGAUUUAAGAGAGAGGAAUGGACAAAGCAAUGAAUUAUGAAUAUGCCAAAUAAUUCCCUUGAUUUUAUCUCUUGUCGGUCGUGUCACGGUUCUUCUUUCUACAUACACUGACCGGGUUAACAGUGGACUCGAAUAUCAUUGACUAGAAUGUCUAUAAUUGUUAAAACAAUCUCGUGUAAAGCUACGCAGAGUACAAGGUAAACAUAAAAUUACUAGUUUGUAACUAAACAAAUAAGAAAAUAUGCCUCUCAGACAAAAUCAUAUUGCAAUGUGACUUUGGAAUAUGGGUUCGCUGAUUUUUACUGUGACAUUUGUUAAAGACUAUCUUUUGGAAGAUCGAUCAACAACUAAACUCUUUGUUUCUUUUGGUGUUGUGUAGUAUACAUAACAUAUCCUUGAUGAAAAGAAUAUUAAGUUUGAGAAACCAAAUAAAAUAAAUAGAGCAGG
rnacentral:sRNA from 1 species